rnacentral:rRNA from 1 species
UACGGGGGGAGCAAGCGUUGUUCGGAUUUACUGGGCGUAAAGGGCGCGUAGGCGGCCACCGCAAGUCGGUUGUGAAAUCUCUGGGCUUAACCCAGAAAGGUCAACCGAUACUGCGGGGCUAGAGUGCAGAAGGGGCAACUGGAAUUCUCGGUGUAGCGGUGAAAUGCGUAGAUAUCGGGAGGAACACCAGUGGCGAAGGCGACUACCUGGCCUGUUCUUGACGCUGAGGCGCGAAAGCUGGGGGAGCAAACGGG